UACGGAGGGUGCAAGCGUUAUCCGGAUUUACUGGGUUUAAAGGGUGUGUAGGCGGGCUUUUAAGUCAGUGGUGAAAUCUCCGGGCUCAACCUGGAAACUGCCAUUGAUACUAUUAGUCUUGAAUUUUGUUGAGGUAGGCGGAAUAAGUCAUGUAGCGGUGAAAUGCAUAGAUAUGACUUAGAACACCAAUUGCGAAGCAGCUUGCUAAACAAAUAUUGACGCUGAGGCACGAAAGCGUGGGGAUCAAACAGGA
rnacentral:rRNA from 1 species